GACGAACGCUGGCGGCGUGCUUAACACAUGCAAGUCGAACGAUGAAGAAGAGAAACGCGAACUUCGGUUCAAAUUUCACUUCGGAUUAGUGGCAGACGGGUGAGUAACGCGUGAGCAACCUACCUCUUACAAAGGGAUAGCCUCGGGAAACCGUGAUUAAUACCAUAUGACACAUUCAUAAGGCAUCUUAAGAAUGUUAAAGCUACGGCGGUAAGAGAUGGGCUCGCGUCCCAUUAGCUAGUUGGUGAGGUAACGGCCCACCAAGGCGACGAUGGGUAACCGGCCUGAGAGGGUGAACGGUCACAUUGGAACUGAGACACGGUCCAAACUCCUACGGGAGGCAGCAGUGGGGAAUAUUGCACAAUGGAGGGAACUCUGAUGCAGCGACGCCGCGUGAGCGAUGAAGGAAUUCGUUUCGUAAAGCUCUGUUCUAUGGGAAGAAAAGGACUGUACCAUAGGAGAAAGCCCCGGCUAAAUGCGUG
rnacentral:rRNA from 1 species